rnacentral:rRNA from 1 species
GGUGAAUGCCUUGGCACUAGAAGGCGAUGAAGGACGUAGCACGUUGCGAUAAGCCUCGGGGAGCCGCAAGCAGGCUUUGAUCCGAGGAUUUCCGAAUGGGGAAACCCGGCGCCUUAGCGUCAUCGUAUGCUGAAUAAAUAGGCAUACGAAGCAAACCCGGUGAACUGAAACAUCUAAGUAACCGGAGGAAAGGACAUCAACCGAGACUCCGUUAGUAGUGGCGAGCGAACGCGGACCAGGCCAGUGGCCUAUUUGUAAGAACCGGAAUCGUCUGGAAAGUCGAGCCAUAGCGGGUGAUAGCCCCGUACGGGUAGAAAGCUUUGCGGUCCUCGAGUAGGGCGGGACACGUGAAAUCCUGCCUGAACGUGGGGGGACCACCCUCCAAGCCUAAGUACUCCUGUGCGACCGAUAGUGAACCAGUACCGUGAGGGAAAGGUGAAAAGCACCCCGAUGAGGGGAGUGAAACAGAUCCUGAAACCGAAUGCUUACAAUCUGUGGGAGCCUCCUUGAGGGGUGACCGCGUACCUUUUGUAUAAUGGGUCAGCGAGUUAAUUUUGCGAGCAAGCUUAAGCCGUUAGGUGUAGGCGUAGCGAAAGCGAGUCUUAAUAGGGCGACUGUAGUUCGUAGGAUUAGACCCGAAACCAGGUGAUCUAGCCAUGAGCAGGCUGCAGGUGGGGUAACACCCACUGAAGGGCCGAACCCACUGAUGUUGAAAAAUCACGGGAUGACUUGUGGCUAGGGGUGAAAGGCCAAUCAAACCUGGAGAUAGCUGGUUCUCCGCGAAAACUAUUUAGGUAGUGCGUCGAGCGAUUACCUUCGGGGGUAGAGCACUGGAUGGGCUAGGGGGCCGCGAGGCUUACCAAACCUAACCAAACUCCGAAUACCGAAGAGUACAGCUCGGCAGACAGACCACGGGUGCUAAGGUCCGUGGUCGAAAGGGAAACAGCCCAGACCGCCAGCUAAGGUCCCUAAUGUAAGCUAAGUGGGAAAGGUUGUGGGAACGCUCAGACAGCCAGGAGGUUGGCUUAGAAGCAGCCAUCCUUUAAAGAGUGCGUAAUAGCUCACUGGUCAAACGCUCUUGCGCGGAUAAUGUAACGGGGCUUAAGUCACCCACCGAAGCCAGGGAUGCUGCACAUUAGUGUGGCGUAGUAGGGGAGCGUUCCAGGAGCAGUGAAGCGGUACCGGUAAGGCGCCGUGGAGCGACUGGAAGUGAGAAUGCUGGCAUGAGUAGCGUAAAACAUGUGAGAACCAUGUUCACCGUAAGUCUAAGGUUUCCGACGGAAGGUCAGUCCGCGUCGGGUUAGUCGGGCCUUAGCCGAGGCCGCAAGGCGUAGGCGAUGGACAACAGGUUAAUAUUCCUGUACCACCUGCAUGGAGCGAUGGAGGGACGUCGCUGGAACACCCAGCCUCUGAUUGGAUUGAGGUGCUAAGCGUAGUAAGCUGUGACGGGGUAGGAAAAUCCGCCCCUGAGCUGAACGCGCGAUGGCGGUGCCUACGGGCCACAAGUGGGAAGACCGGCGACCGAGAAAAGCUUCUAAGUGAUGAAGUGUAGGUGCCCGUACCGCAAACCGACACUGGUAGACGGGUUGAGUAUACUAAGGUGAACGGGAGAACCCUCGUUAAGGAACUAGGCAAAAUGGCCCCGUAACUUCGGGAGAAGGGGCGCCACCUUCGGGUGGUCGCAGUGAAAUGGCUCUGCCGACUGUUUAACAAAAACACAGGUCUCUGCAAACGUGAAAACGGAUGUAUAGGGGCUGACGCCUGCCCAGUGCCGGAAGGUUAAGGGGAGGGGUUCACGCUCUGAACCGAAGCCCCGGUGAACGGCGGCCGUAACUAUAACGGUCCUAAGGUAGCGAAAUUCCUUGUCGGGUAAGUUCCGACCCGCACGAAUGGCGUAACGAGUGGAGCGCUGUCUCAACGAGGGACCCGGCGAAAUUGAAAUACGUGUAAAGAUGCGCGUUACCCGCAGCAGGACAAAAAGACCCCGUGGAGCUUUACUACAACUUGCUAUUGCGUUAGGGCUGAGCUUGUGCAGGAUAACUGGGAGGCUGGGAAGCUGGGACGUCAGUCUCGGUGGAGCCAACGUUGAGAUACCAGUCUGGUUCAGUUUUGGCCCUAACCGUGUGCCGUAUAACCGGGCACGGGACAGUGGCAGGUGGGUAGUUUGACUGGGGCGGUCGCCUCCGAAAGCGUAACGGAGGCGCCCAAAGGUUCCCUCAGGGUGAAUGGAAACCACCCGCAGAGUGUAAAGGCACAAGGGAGCUUGACUGCGAGACUUACACGCCGAGCAGGGACGAAAGUCGGGCUUAGUGAUCCCACGGUACCGAGUGGAAGGGCCGUGGCUUACCGGAUAAAAGCUACCCCGGGGAUAACAGGCUAGUCUUCUCCAAGAGUUCACAUCGACGAGAAGGCUCGGCACCUCGAUGUCGGCUCAUCGCAUCCUGGGGCUGAAUCAGGUCCCAAGGGUUGGGCUGUUCGCCCAUUAAAGCGGUACGUGAGCUGGGUUCAGACCGUCGUGAGACAGGUCGGUCUCUAUCCGCUGUGGGCGUUGGGAAUUUGCGAGGAGCUGCCCCUAGUACGAGAGGACCGGGGUGGACGAAGCGCUCGUGUGUCGGUUGUCACGCCAGUGGCAUAGCCGAGUAGCGACCUUCGGUAGAGAUAACCGCUGAAAGCAUCUAAGCGGGAAACUCGCCUCAAGAUGAGCUUCCUCACUGGAUAACCAGGUAAGACCGCUGGUAGACUACCAGCUUGAUAGGCCGGAUGUGUACGCACAGCAAUGUGUUCAGCUAACCGGUACUAAUGGUCGAGGGCUUAUCCCC